rnacentral:rRNA from 1 species
UACGUAGGGGGCAAGCGUUGUCCGGAUUUAUUGGACGUAAAAGGCUUGUAGGUGGCCACGCCAAGUCGGAUGUGAAAUCUCCCGGCUCAACUGGGAGGGGUCAUUCGAUACUGGCGGGCUCGAGGCCGGUAGGGGGAAGUGGAAUUCCCGGUGUAGUGGUGGAAUGCGUAGAUAUCGGGAGGAACACCAGUGGCGAAGGCGGCUUCCUGGACCGGUUCUGACACUGAGGAGCGAAAGCGUGGGGAGCGAUCCGG